AGUCGAGGGGUAUAGGUUUUCGGACCUAGAGACCGGCGCACGGGUGCGUAACGCGUAUGCAAUCUACCUUUUACAGAGGGAUAGCCCAGAGAAAUUUGGAUUAAUACCUCAUAGUAUUAUUGAAUGGCAUCAUUUAAUAAUUAAAGUCACAACGGUAAAAGAUGAGCAUGCGUCCCAUUAGUUUGUUGGUAAGGUAACGGCUUACCAAGACUACGAUGGGUAGGGGUCCUGAGAGGGAGAUCCCCCACACUGGUACUGAGACACGGACCAGACUCCUACGGGAGGCAGCAGUGAGGAAUAUUGGUCAAUGGGCGCAAGCCUGAACCAGCCAUGCCGCGUGCAGGAUGAAGCAUCUAUGGUGUGUAAACUGCUUUUGUACGAGAAGAAACACUCCUACGUGUAGGAGCUUGACGGUAUCGUAAGAAUAAGGACCGGCUAACUCCGUGCCAGCAGCCGCGGUAAUACGGAGGGUCCAAGCGUUAUCCGGAAUCAUUGGGUUUAAAGGGUCCGUAGGCGGUUUUGUAAGUCAGUGGUGAAAGCCCAUCGCUCAACGGUGGAACGGCCAUUGAUACUGCAAGACUUGAAUUAUUAGGAAGUAACUAGAAUAUGUAGUGUAGCGGUGAAAUGCUUAGAGAUUACAUGGAAUACCAAUUGCGAAGGCAGGUUACUACUAAUGGAUUGACGCUGAUGGACGAAAGCGUGGGGAGCGAACAGGAUUAGAUACCCUGGUAGUC
rnacentral:rRNA from 1 species